GUGUAGCUAUGCUGCCGAGCCUGGUUCUGCAUCGUUCCUCUGUUCAUCCAUACCAGAGGGGUUUUUACUGCAGUGACUCCAGCCUCAACUACCCCUAUAAGAGCAGCACCGUACCCUCUUCAGUGCUCACUUCUGUUGGCUUGACACUGCCCGUGGUGUCCCUAGCCUGCCUUUCCUGAUCAUUGAGACUAGCACCAUAAAGCCAUACCAGCGCGGGUUUUACUGUUCGGACGAGUCCAUUCGCUUCCCCCGAAAAGAGGGAGACACCAUUAGUGAUGCCGUGCUUUGUGGCGUUGGCAUUCUUAUUGGCAUCUUCUCUAUUGUGAUUGGAGAAUGCUACAGGAUCCACCAGCUACAAGAAGGAACCAAAUCAAUUGUUGGAAAUCCUUAUGUUGC